UUGGAGGGCAAGUCUGGUGCCAGCAGCCGCGGUAAUUCCAGCUCCAAUAGCGUAUAUUAAAGUUGUUGCAGUUAAAAAGCUCGUAGUUGAAUUUCGGGAUCAAUUUAUUGGUCGUGCCAACGGUACGCACUGGUACAAUUGGUUUCUCCCUUCUGACGAAGCAUGACGUCAUUAAUUUGAUGUCGUGGGGAAUCAGGACUGUUACUUUGAAAAAAUUAGAGUGUUUAAAGCAGGCUUUGGCUUGAAUACAUUAGCAUGGAAUAAUGAAAUAGGACGUUUGAUCUUAUUUCGUUGGUUUCUAAGAUCGACGUAAUGAUUAAUAGGGAUAGUUGGGGGCAUUAGUAUUCAAUUGUCAGAGGUGAAAUUCUUGGAUUUAUUGAAGACUAACUACUGCGAAAGCAUUUGCCAAGGAUGUUUUCAUUAAUCAAGAACGAAAGUUAGGGGAUCGAAGACGAUCAGAUACCGUCGUAGUCUUAACCAUAAACUAUGCCGACUAGGAUCGGAUGAUGUUAAUUUCUUAAUGACUCAUUCGGCGCCUUACGGGAAAC
rnacentral:rRNA from 1 species